UACGUAGGGUGCAAGCGUUGUCCGGAAUUAUUGGGCGUAAAGAGCUCGUAGGCGGUUCGUCGCGUCGGCUGUGAAAACCUGAGGCUCAACCUCAGGCCUGCAGUCGAUACGGGCGGACUUGAGUACUGCAGGGGAGACUGGAAUUCCUGGUGUAGCGGUGAAAUGCGCAGAUAAUCAGGAGGAACACCGGUGGCGAAGGCGGCUCUGG
rnacentral:rRNA from 1 species